rnacentral:sRNA from 1 species
AAAAGAAUAGAUUUACCGUAGACAGUGGGUGCGAUAUAGCUUAAUUUCCCACCGAGGUUGCGAUAUACGUGAUACUUGUACCCUUGCAGUCUAUAAAUUAGUUGCAGGGGUUUUUUAUAUU